UGAAUCGCUAGUAAUCGCGGAUCAGCAUGCCGCGGUGAAUACGUUCCCGGGCCUUGUACACACCGCCCGUCACACCAUGGAAGUUUGCAAUGCCCAAAGUCAGUGGCCUAACCAUUUUGGAGGGAGCUGCCUAAGGCAGGGCAGAUGACUGGGGUGAAGUCGUAACAAGGUAGCCGUAGGAGAACCUGCGGCUGGAUCACCUCCUUU
rnacentral:rRNA from 1 species